AACGAACGCUGGCGGCAGGCUUAACACAUGCAAGUCGAGCGCCCCGCAAGGGGAGCGGCAGACGGGUGAGUAACGCGUGGGAAUCUACCCAUCUCUACGGAAUAACGCAUGGAAACGUGUGCUAAUACCGUAUACGUCCUUCGGGAGAAAGAUUUAUCGGAGAUGGAUGAGCCCGCGUUGGACUAGCUAGUUGGUGGGGUAAAGACCUACCAAGGCGACGAUCCAUAGCUGGUCUGAGAGGAUGAUCAGCCACACUGGGACUGAGACACGGCCCAGACUCCUACGGGAGGCAGCAGUGGGGAAUAUUGGACAAUGGGCGCAAGCCUGAUCCAGCCAUGCCGCGUGAGUGAUGAAGGCCCUAGGGUUGUAAAGCUCUUUCACCGGUGAAGAUAAUGACGGUAACCGGAGAAGAAGCCCCGGCUAACUUCGUGCCAGCAGCCGCGGUAAUAC
rnacentral:rRNA from 1 species